rnacentral:lncRNA from 1 species
GGAGUUUCCGGGGGUGUGUUUGGAGGAGUUUCUGGUGGUGUGGUUGGAGGUGUCUUUGGUGUGUUUGGAGGAGUUCCCGGUGGUGUGUUUGGAGGUGUUUCUGGUGGAGUAUUUGGAGGACUUUGUGGGGGGGUGUUUGGUGGAGUUUCUGGUGGUGUGAUUGGAGGAGUUUCUGGUGGUGUGGUUGGAGGUGUCUCCGGUGGUGUGUUUGGAGGAGUUCCUGGUGGUGUGUUUGGAAGUGUCUCUGGUGGUGUGUUUGGAGGAGUUCCCGGUGGUGUGUUUGGAGGUGUUUCUGGUGGAGUAUUUGGAGGACUUUGUGGGGGGGUGUUUGGUGGAGUUUCUGGUGGUGUGAUUGGAGGAGUUUCUGGUGGUGUUGUUGGAGGUGUCUCCGGUGGUGUGUUUGGAGGAGUUCCUGGUGGUGUGUUUGGAAGUGUCUCCGGUGGUGUGUUUGGAGGAGUUCCCGGUGGUGUGUUUGGAGGUGUUUCUGGUGGAGUAUUUGGAGGACUUUGUGGGGGUGUGUUUGGUGGAAUUUCCGGUGGUGUGGUUGGAGAAGUUUCCGGUGGUGUGUUUGGAGAAGUUUCUGGUGGUGUGGUUGGAGGUGUCUCCGGUGGUGUGGUUGGAGGUGUCUCCGGUGGUGUGUUUGGAGGAGUUCCCGGUGGUGUGUUUGGAGGUAUUUCCGGUGGAGUGUUUGGAGGACUUUCUGGGGGCGUGUUUGGUGGAGUUUCUGGUGGUGUUGUUGGAGGUGUCUCCGGUGGCGUGUUUGGUGGAAGCGUUGGUGGAGUCUGUGGUGGUGUGUUAG